rnacentral:tRNA from 1 species
AAUAGAAUGCCUGAUAAAAGGAUUAUUUUGAUAGAAUAAAUUAUGUAAAUUUUACUUCUAUUA